rnacentral:rRNA from 1 species
CGGACGGGUGAGUAAUGUCUGGGAAACUGCCCGAUGGAGGGGGAUAACUACUGGAAACGGUAGCUAAUACCGCAUAACGUCGCAAGACCAAAGAGGGGGACCUUAGGGCCUCCUGCCAUCGGAUGUGCCCAGAUGGGAUUAGCUAGUAGGUGGGGUAACGGCUCACCUAGGCGACGAUCCCUAGCUGGUCUGAGAGGAUGACCAGCCACACUGGAACUGAGACACGGUCCAG